UCUCCUCGCGGCGCGAGUUUCAGGCAGCGCUGCGUCCUGCUGCGCACGUGGGAAGCCCUGGCCCCGGCCACCCCCGCGAUGCCGCGCGCUCCCCGCUGCCGAGCCGUGCGCUCCCUGCUGCGCAGCCACUACCGCGAGGUGCUGCCGCUGGCCACGUUCGUGCGGCGCCUGGGGCCCCAGGGCUGGCGGCUGGUGCAGCGCGGGGACCCGGCGGCUUUCCGCGCGCUGGUGGCCCAGUGCCUGGUGUGCGUGCCCUGGGACGCACGGCCGCCCCCCGCCGCCCCCUCCUUCCGCCAGGUGUCCUGCCUGAAGGAGCUGGUGGCCCGAGUGCUGCAGAGGCUGUGCGAGCGCGGCGCGAAGAACGUGCUGGCCUUCGGCUUCGCGCUGCUGGACGGGGCCCGCGGGGGCCCCCCCGAGGCCUUCACCACCAGCGUGCGCAGCUACCUGCCCAACACGGUGACCGACGCACUGCGGGGGAGCGGGGCGUGGGGGCUGCUGCUGCGCCGCGUGGGCGACGACGUGCUGGUUCACCUGCUGGCACGCUGCGCGCUCUUUGUGCUGGUGGCUCCCAGCUGCGCCUACCAGGUGUGCGGGCCGCCGCUGUACCAGCUCGGCGCUGCCACUCAGGCCCGGCCCCCGCCACACGCUAGUGGACCCCGAAGGCGUCUAGGAUGCGAACGGGCCUGGAACCAUAGCGUCAGGGAGGCCGGGGUCCCCCUGGGCCUGCCAGCCCCGGGUGCGAGGAGGCGCGGGGGCAGUGCCAGCCGAAGUCUGCCGUUGCCCAAGAGGCCCAGGCGUGGCGCUGCCCCUGAGCCGGAGCGGACGCCCGUUGGGCAGGGGUCCUGGGCCCACCCGGGCAGGACGCGUGGACCGAGUGACCGUGGUUUCUGUGUGGUGUCACCUGCCAGACCCGCCGAAGAAGCCACCUCUUUGGAGGGUGCGCUCUCUGGCACGCGCCACUCCCACCCAUCCGUGGGCCGCCAGCACCACGCGGGCCCCCCAUCCACAUCGCGGCCACCACGUCCCUGGGACACGCCUUGUCCCCCGGUGUACGCCGAGACCAAGCACUUCCUCUACUCCUCAGGCGACAAGGAGCAGCUGCGGCCCUCCUUCCUACUCAGCUCUCUGAGGCCCAGCCUGACUGGCGCUCGGAGGCUCGUGGAGACCAUCUUUCUGGGUUCCAGGCCCUGGAUGCCAGGGACUCCCCGCAGGUUGCCCCGCCUGCCCCAGCGCUACUGGCAAAUGCGGCCCCUGUUUCUGGAGCUGCUUGGGAACCACGCGCAGUGCCCCUACGGGGUGCUCCUCAAGACGCACUGCCCGCUGCGAGCUGCGGUCACCCCAGCAGCCGGUGUCUGUGCCCGGGAGAAGCCCCAGGGCUCUGUGGCGGCCCCCGAGGAGGAGGACACAGACCCCCGUCGCCUGGUGCAGCUGCUCCGCCAGCACAGCAGCCCCUGGCAGGUGUACGGCUUCGUGCGGGCCUGCCUGCGCCGGCUGGUGCCCCCAGGCCUCUGGGGCUCCAGGCACAACGAACGCCGCUUCCUCAGGAACACCAAGAAGUUCAUCUCCCUGGGGAAGCAUGCCAAGCUCUCGCUGCAGGAGCUGACGUGGAAGAUGAGCGUGCGGGACUGCGCUUGGCUGCGCAGGAGCCCAGGGGUUGGCUCUGUUCCGGCCGCAGAGCACCGUCUGCGUGAGGAGAUCCUGGCCAAGUUCUUGCACUGGCUGAUGAGUGUGUACGUUGUCGAGCUGCUCAGGUCUUUCUUUUAUGUCACGGAGACCACGUUUCAGAAGAACAGGCUCUUUUUCUACCGGAAGAGUGUCUGGAGCAAGUUGCAAAGCAUUGGAAUCAGACAGCACUUGAAGAGGGUGCAGCUGCGGGAGCUGUCGGAAGCAGAGGUCAGGCAGCAUCAGGAAGCCAGGCCCGCCCUGCUGACGUCCAGACUCCGCUUCAUCCCCAAGCCUGACGGGCUGCGGCCGAUUGUGAACAUGGACUACGUCGUGGGAGCCAGAACGUUCCGCAGAGAAAAGAGGGCCGAGCGUCUCACCUCGAGGGUGAAGGCACUGUUCAGCGUGCUCAACUACGAGCGGGCGCGGCGCCCCGGCCUCCUGGGCGCCUCUGUGCUGGGCCUGGACGAUAUCCACAGGGCCUGGCGCACCUUCGUGCUGCGUGUGCGGGCCCAGGACCCGCCGCCUGAGCUGUACUUUGUCAAGGUGGAUGUGACGGGCGCGUACGACACCAUCCCCCAGGACAGGCUCACGGAGGUCAUCGCCAGCAUCAUCAAACCCCAGAACACGUACUGCGUGCGUCGGUAUGCUGUGGUCCAGAAGGCCGCCCAUGGGCACGUCCGCAAGGCCUUCAAGAGCCACGUCUCUACCUUGACAGACCUCCAGCCGUACAUGCGACAGUUCGUGGCUCACCUGCAGGAGACCAGCCCACUGAGGGAUGCCGUCAUCAUCGAGCAGAGCUCCUCCCUGAAUGAGGCCAGCAGUGGCCUCUUCGACGUCUUCCUACGCUUCGUGUGCCGCCACGCCGUGCGCAUCAGGGGCAAGUCCUACGUCCAGUGCCAGGGGAUCCCGCAGGGCUCCAUCCUGUCCACGCUGCUCUGCAGCCUGUGCUACGGCGACAUGGAGAACAAGCUGUUUGCGGGGAUUCGGCGGGACGGGCUGCUCCUGCGUUUGGUGGAUGAUUUCUUGUUGGUGACACCUCACCUCACCCACGCGAAAGCCUUCCUCAGGACCCUGGUCCGAGGUGUCCCUGAGUAUGGCUGCGUGGUGAACUUGCGGAAGACAGUAGUGAACUUCCCUGUAGAAGAUGAGGCCCUGGGUGGCACGGCUUUUGUUCAGCUGCCGGCCCACGGCCUAUUCCCCUGGUGCGGGCUGCUGCUGGACACCCGGACCCUGGAGGUGCAGAGCGACUACUCCAGCUAUGCCCGGACCUCCAUCAGAGCCAGUCUCACCUUCAACCGCGGCUUCAAGGCUGGGAGGAACAUGCGUCGCAAACUCUUUGGGGUCUUGCGGCUGAAGUGUCACAGCCUGUUUCUGGAUUUGCAGGUGAACAGCCUCCAGACGGUGUGCACCAACAUCUACAAGAUCCUCCUGCUGCAGGCGUACAGGUUUCACGCAUGUGUGCUGCAGCUCCCAUUUCAUCAGCAAGUUUGGAAGAACCCCACAUUUUUCCUGCGCAUCAUCUCUGACACGGCCUCCCUCUGCUACUCCAUCCUGAAAGCCAAGAACGCAGGGAUGUCGCUGGGGGCCAAGGGUGCCGCCGGCCCUCUGCCCUCCGAGGCCAUGCAGUGGCUGUGCCACCAAGCAUUCCUGCUCAAGCUGACUCGACACCGCGUCACCUACGUGCCACUCCUGGGGUCACUCAGGACAGCCCAGACGCAGCUGAGUCGGAAGCUCCCGGGGACGACGCUGAGUGCCCUGGAGGCCGCAGCCAACCCGGCACUGCCCUCAGACUUCAAGACCAUCCUGGACUGAUGGCCACCCGCCCACAGCCGGGCCGAGAGCAGACACCAGCAGCCCUGUCACGCCGGGCUCUACGUCCCAGGGAGGGAGGGGCGGCCCACACCCAGACCCGCACCGCUGGGAGUCUGAGGCCUGAGUGAGUGUCUGGCCAAGGCCUGCAUGUCCGGCUGAAGGCUGAGUGUCCAGCUGAGGCCUGAGCGAGUGUCCAGCCAAGGGCUGAGUGUCCAGCACACCUGCCGUCUUCACUUCCCCACAGGCUGGCGCUCGGCUCCACCCCAGGGCCAGCUUUUCCUCGCCAGGAGCCCGGCUUCCCACUCCCCACAUGGGAAUAGUCCAUCCCCAGAUUCGCCAUUGUCCACCCCUCGCCCUGCCCUCCUUUGCCUUCCACGCCCACCAUCCAGAUGGAGACCCUGAGAAGGACCCUGGGAGCUCUGGGAAUUUGGAGUGACCAAAGGUGUGCCCUGUACACAGUCUCAUCCAGACUUACCUCCCAGGGCGGGUGCCAGGCUCGCAGUGGAGCUGGACAUACGUCCUUCCUCAGGCAGAAGGAACUGGAAGGAUUGCAGAGAACAGGAGGGGCGGCUCAGAGGGACGCAGUCUUGGGGUGAAGAAACAGCCCGUCCUCAGAAGUUGGCUUGGGCCACACGAAACCGAGGGCCCGGCGUGAGUGGCUCCAGAGCCUUCCAGCAGGUCCCUGGUGGGGCCUUAUGGUAUGGCCGGGUCCUACUGAGUGCACCUUGGACAGGGCUUCUGGUUUGAGUGCAGCCCGGACGUGCCUGGUGUCGGGGUGGGGGCUUAUGGCCACUGGAUAUGGCCUCAUUUAUUGCUGCUGCUUCAGAGAAUGUCUGAGUGACCGAGCCUAAUGUGUUUAUGGUGGGCCCAAGUCCACAGACUGUGUCGUAAAUGCACUCUGGCGCCUGGAGCCCCCGUAUAGGAGCUGUGAGGAAGGAGGGGCUCUUGGCAGCCGGCCUGGGGGCGCCUUUGCCCUGCAAACCGGAAGGGAGCGGCCCGGGGCGCUGUGGGCGGACGACCUCAGUGGGAGGUUGGACAGAACAGGGCGGGCACUCCCAGGAGCAGAGGCCGCUGCUCAGGCACACCUGGGUUUGAAUCACAGACCAACACGUCAGGCCAUUGUUCAGUUAUCCAUCUUCUACAAAGCUCCAGAUUCCUGUUUCUCCGGGUGUUUUUUGUUGAAAUUUUACUCAGGAUUACUUGUAUUUUUUGCUAAAGUAUUAGACCCUUAAAAAAGGUAUUUGCUUUGAUACGGCUUAACUCACUAA